rnacentral:rRNA from 1 species
UACGUAGGGUGCAAGCGUUGUCCGGAAUUAUUGGGCGUAAAGAGCUCGUAGGUGGUUCGGUAAGUCGGAUGUGAAAUCUCCAGGCUCAACCUGGAGGGGUCAUUCGAUACUGCCGUGACUAGAGGUCGGUAGGGGAGUGUGGAAUUCCUGGUGUAGCGGUGAAAUGCGCAGAUAUCAGGAGGAACACCAGCGGCGAAGGCGGCGCUCUGGGCCGGUACUGACGCUGAGGAGCGAAAGCGUGGGGAGCAAACAGG